UACACUCCUGCGGGAGGCAGCAGUGGGGAAUAUUGGACAAUGGGCGCAAGCCUGAUCCAGCCAUGCCGCGUGAGUGAUGAAGGCCCUAGGGUUGUAAAGCUCUUUCACCGGUGAAGAUAAUGACGGUAACCGGAGAAGAAGCCCCGGCUAACUUCGUGCCACCAGCCGCGGUAAUACGCAGGGGGCUAGCGUUGUUCGGAUUUACUGGGCGUAAAGCGCACGUAGGCGGACUAUUAAGUCAGGGGUGAAAUCCCCGGGCUCAACCCCGGAACUGCCUUUGAUACUGGUAGUCUUGAGUUCGAGAGAGGUGAGUGGAAUUCCGAGUGUAGAGGUGAAAUUCGUAGAUAUUCGGAGGAACACCAGUGGCGAAGGCGGCUCACUGGCUCGAUACUGACGCUGAGGUGCGAAAGCGUGGGGAGCAAACAGGAUUAGAAACCCGAGUAGUCCCA
rnacentral:rRNA from 1 species